GACAGAGGGGGCAAGCGUUGCUCGGAAUUACUGGGCGUAAAGGGCGCGUAGGCGGGAUGGCAAGUCGGUCGUGAAAUCCCUCGGCUCAACCGAGGAACGUCGAUCGAUACUGCUGUUCUUGAGGAUUGCAGAGGAGACUGGAAUUCCCGGUGUAGCGGUGAAAUGCGUAGAGAUCGGCAGGAAGACCCACGGGGAAACCAGUGGACUGGGCAGGAGCUGACGCUCAGGUGCGAAAGCGUGGGGAGCGAACCGG
rnacentral:rRNA from 1 species